rnacentral:lncRNA from 1 species
GGGGCAAACCUCAAGUUUACAAAUUGACCUAUCAUACAUCAAUAUACAUUUACUAAAGUUUUACAUGAACUAAUACCAAUUACCAAAUAGUAAUUACUUACACGUAAUUAUUAGUUGUUCUCUCUAAUAGAUCUCUUAGCACAAAUCCAAGCUUAACCUGCAUGUGUAUCGAUAUUUCAAGAUACUAACCCAAUAUCAAUCCUUCAAUUCAACAAUCAAGUUGUAUCUUGUUCCAAAUGAAAGCAAAACAGUUUCCG